rnacentral:rRNA from 1 species
AUACGUAGGGUGCAAGCGUUAUCCGGAUUUACUGGGUGUAAAGGGAGCGUAGACGGAAGGCCAAGUCUGAUGUGAAAGCCCGCGGCUCAACUGCGGGACUGCAUUGGAAACUGGUCACCUGGAGUGCAGGAGGGGUAAGCGGAAUUCCUAGUGUAGCGGUGAAAUGCGUAGAUAUUAGGAGGAACACCGGUGGCGAAGGCGGCUUACUGGACUGUAACUGACGUUGAGGCUCGAAAGCGUGGGGAGCAAACAGGAUUAGAUACCCUGGUAGUCCACGCCGUAAACGAUGAGUGCUAGGUGUUGGGGGUCAAACCUCGGUGCCGCAGCUAACGCAUUAAGCGCUCCGCCUGGGGAGUACGUACGCAAGUAUGAAACUCAAAUGAAUUGACGGGG